GAUGAACGCUGGCGGCGUGCUUAACACAUGCAAGUCGAACGGUGAAAGCGGGAGCUUGCUCCUGCUGGAUCAGUGGCGAACGGGUGAGUAACACGUGAGCAAUCUGCCCCGAACUCUGGGAUAAGCGCUGGAAACGGCGUCUAAUACCGGAUACGACGCGCGACGGCAUCGUCUGCGCGUGGAAAGAACUUCGGUUCGGGAUGAGCUCGCGGCCUAUCAGCGUGUUGGUGAGGUAACGGCUUACCAAGGCGACGAUCAGUAGGGGUUCUGAGAGGAUAAUCCCCCACACUGGUACUGAGACACGGACCAGACUCCUACGGGAGGCAGCAGUGAGGAAUUUUGGUCAAUGGGCGAGAGCCUGAACCAGCCAUUCCGCGUGAAGGAAGAAGGCCUUACGGGUUGUAAACUUCUUUUCUGUAAGAAGAAUAGCCCCGACGUGUCGGGGUAUGACGGUAUUAUAGGAAUAAGCAUCGGCUAACUCCGUGCCAGCCGCCGCGGUAAGAC
rnacentral:rRNA from 1 species